GCCAGUAGUCAUAUGCUUGUCUAAAAGAUUAAGCCAUGCAAGUGUAAGUAUAAAUAGACAAAUUAUUGUACUAUGAGACUGCGAAUGGCUCAUUAAAUCAGCAAUCAUUUAUUCGGUGGAUGAAGUAAUUCUAAAAUGGAUAACCGUGGGAAAUCUAGAGCUAAUACAUGCAAAAGAGAAUUCUUUGAAAAAGGAAUGCAUAUAUUAGAUACAAAUCCAAAAAUACAAAGGUGAAUCAUAAUAUUUAUAGCAAAUUAUACAGAGGAAGUAAUUCUUCUUGAUAAUAAACCGAUCAAAUUUCUGCCCUAUCAUACUUUGGACGGUAAUGUAGUGGAUUACGGUGGUGAUGACGGGUAACGGAGAAUUAGGUUUGAUUCCGGAGAGGGAGCAUGAGAAAUGGCUACCACUUCCAAGGAAGGCAGCAGGCG
rnacentral:rRNA from 1 species